rnacentral:rRNA from 1 species
AACUGCGAAUGGCUCAUUAAAUCAGUUAUCGUUUAUUUGAUAGUACCCUACUACAUGGAUACCUGUGGUAAUUCUAGAGCUAAUACAUGCGCAAAACCCCGACUUCGGAAGGGGUGUAUUUAUUAGAUAAAAAACCAAUGCCCUUCGGGGCUCCUUGGUGAUUCAUAAUAACUUCACGAAUCGCAUGGCCUUGCGCCGGCGAUGGUUCAUUCAAAUUUCUGCCCUAUCAACUUUCGAUGGUAGGAUAGUGGCCUACCAUGGUGGCAACGGGUAACGGGGAAUUAGGGUUCGAUUCCGGAGAGGGAGCCUGAGAAACGGCUACCACAUCCAAGGAAGGCAGCAGGCGCGCAAAUUACCCAAUCCCGAUCCGGGGAGGUAGUGACAAUAAAUACUGAUACAGGGCUCUUUUGGGUCUUGUAAUUGGAAUGAGUACAAUCUAAAUCCCUUAACGAGGAACAAUUGGAGGGCAAGUCUGGUGCCAGCAGCCGCGGUAAUUCCAGCUCCAAUAGCGUAUAUUAAAGUUGUUGCAGUUAAAAAGCUCGUAGUUGAACCUUGGGCCCGUCCUGCCGGUCCGCCUCACCGCGAGUACUGGUCCGGAUGGGCCUUUCUUUCUGGGGAAUCCCAUGGCCUUCACUGGCUGUGGCGGGGAACCAGGACUUUUACUGUGAAAAAAUUAGAGUGUUCAAAGCAGGCCUUUGCUCGGAUACAUUAGCAUGGAAUAAUAGAAUAGGACGUGUGGUUCUAUUUUGUUGGUUUCUAGGACCGCCGUAAUGAUUAAUAGGGAUAGUCGGGGGCGUCAGUAUUCAGCUGUCAGAGGUGAAAUUCUUGGAUUUGCUGAAGACUAACUACUGCGAAAGCAUUCGCCAAGGAUGUUUUCAUUAAUCAGGGAACGAAAGUUAGGGGAUCGAAGACGAUCAGAUACCGUCGUAGUCUUAACCAUAAACUAUGCCGACUAGGGAUCGGGCGGGGUUUCUAUGAUGACCCGCUCGGCACCUUACGAGAAAUCAAAGUUU